rnacentral:misc_RNA from 1 species
GAUUUGAAAUGGCAGGAAGACAUAUAUCCAUAAGCAGAACAUGAAAUGAAGGACCUGUAGCCAGCUUCGACAAGUUGGGACCUAAAUCUCUACCGAGUUGAGCUGAAAACCCCGAAUGAACCCCACCGGUUCAACUACAAUAGCAAAUGAUUUCAGCCAUUUCUCAUGACACAACUACGAGUUUAGAAAGACAACAAACUCAC